rnacentral:rRNA from 2 species
ACGGGAGGCAGCAGUGGGGAAUAUUGCACAAUGGAGGAAACUCUGAUGCAGCGACGCCGCGUGAGUGAAGAAGUAUUUCGGUAUGUAAAGCUCUUUAAGAUGGGACGAAAAUGACGGUACCAUCAGAAUAAGCCCCGGCUAACUACGUGCCAGCAGCCGCGGUAAUACGUAGGGGGCAAGCGUUAUCCGGAUUUACUGGGUGUAAAGGGAGCGUAGACGGCAAUGCAAGUCUGAAGUGAAAUCCCGUGGCUUAACUGCGGAAUUGCUUUGGAAACUGUAUAGCUAGAGUGUCGGAGAGGUGAGUGGAAUUCCCAGUGUAGCGGUGAAAUGCGUAGAUAUUGGGAAGAACACCGGUGGCGAAGGCGGCUCACUGGACGAUAACUGACGUUGAGGCUCGAAAGCGUGGGGAGCAAACAGGAUUAGAUACCCUGGUA